rnacentral:rRNA from 1 species
UGGGGAAUAUUGCGCAAUGGGGGAAACCCUGACGCAGCGACGCCGCGUGCGGGAUGAAGGCCUUCGGGUUGUAAACCGCUUUCAGCAGGGGCGAAUUCAGACGGUACCUGCAGAAGAAGCGCCGGCUAACUACGUGCCAGCAGCCGCGGUAAUACGUAGGGCGCGAGCGUUGUCCGGAAUUAUUGGGCGUAAAGAGCUCGUAGGCGGCCUGUUGCGUCCGCUGUGAAGUCCCAGGGCUCAACCCUGGGCGUGCAGUGGAUACGGGCAGGCUGGAGGCAGGCAGGGGAGAACGGAAUUCCCGGUGUAGCGGUGAAAUGCGCAGAUAUCGGGAGGAACACCGGUGGCGAAGGCGGUUCUCUGGGCCUGUACUGACGCUGAGGAGCGAAAGCGUGGGGAGCGAACAGG